rnacentral:tRNA from 1 species
UCCUGGGUGUCUCAGUGGUAAAGAAUCUGCCUGCCAAUGCAGGAGACACGGGUUCAAUCCCUGUGUCAGGAA